AACGCGAAGAACCUUACCUGGGCUUGACAUGCUUCGGAAAUCCUGGCGAAAGCCAGGACCUCCCGCAAGGGACCGUUGCACGGGUGGUGCAUGGCUGUCGUCAGCUCGUGCCGUGAGGUGUUGGGUUAAGUCCCGCAACGAGCGUGACCCCUGUCCUUAGUUGAAUACUCUAGGGAGACUGCCGGGCGAAACCCGGAGGAAGGUGGGGAUGAUGUCAAGUCAGCAUGCCCUUUAUGCCCAGGGCUACAAACACGCUACAAUGGCCGGUACAACGGGCUCCGACACGGCGACGUGAAGGCAAUCCCUUAAAACCGGUCUCAGUUCGGAUUGUAGGCUGCAACCCGCCUACAUGAAGUCGGAGUUGCUAGUAACCGCCGGUCAGCACACGGCGGUGAAUACGUUCCCGGGCCUUGUACACACCG
rnacentral:rRNA from 1 species